CGCGUAGGCGGUUUGUUAAGUCGGAUGUGAAAUCCCCGGGCUCAACCUGGGAACUGCACCCGAUACUGGCCGACUAGAGUACGAGAGAGGGGGUAGAAUUCCACGUGUAGCGGUGAAAUGCGUAGAUAUGUGGAGGAAUACCAGUGGCGAAGGCGGCCCCCUGGUUCGAUACUGACGCUGAGGUGCGAAAGCGUGGGAGCAAACA
rnacentral:rRNA from 1 species